rnacentral:tRNA from 1 species
GGAGAGAUGGCAGAGUGGUCGAAUGCGCUCGACUUGAAAUCGAGUGUUGCGAAAGCAACCGGGGGUUCGAAUCCCCCUCUCUCCG